UCAGUUCGGACUGUAGGCUGCAACUCGCCUACACGAAGUUGGAAUUGCUAGUAAUCGUGGAUCAGCAUGCCACGGUGAAUACGUUCCCGGGUCUCGUACACACCGCCCGUCACACCAUGGGAGCUGGUAACACCCGAAGUCAGUAGUCUAACCGCAAGGAGGACGCUGCCGAAGGUGGGAUUAGCGACUGGGGUGAAGUCGUAACAAGGUAAC
rnacentral:rRNA from 1 species